GCACUGAUAGCUCAGUGGUAGAGCAGUCGGCUGCAGUUCUCUCCCUCAGGGGAAUACAUCCGGCGGGUCCUCGGUUCAAUCCCGGGUCAGUGCU